rnacentral:tRNA from 1 species
AAGGGUGUGGCUCAAGUGGCAGAGCGCAUGCUUAGCACGCACGAGGUCCUGGGUUCAAUCCCGGGCACCUCUU